rnacentral:lncRNA from 1 species
CUCGCCGGAAAAGAAAAGCUAACAAUGCUGCGUUUCUACGUGCAAGACUUCGUCGGUGGGGACUCACCAACUGUUUGGGAAAUUGCCAAAACGAACCUCACCGACGUUCUUCCCUCAGCAUUUGGUCUGGUCAGUGUUCUGGACAACCUGGUGACAUCCGAACCGGAGGUCGAUUCGAAAGAAGUGGGUCGGAUCCAGGGGAUUAUCGGGUUGACGGAUUUCCACGAGAAGGCUUUGGUUAUGCUUCUGAAUCUUGUUUUUACGGAUGGUGAGUACAAAGGGAGCACGCUUAGCGUUUUGGGGAGGAAUCCUUUGGGCGAAGAGACGAGGGAGGUUCCGAUCGUCGGCGGCACCGGUGCUUUCAGAAUGGCGCGUGGUUAUGCGGUUACUAGUACUUAUAGUAACGACGAAGCACAUAGUCAUGGUGUUAUUCAGUAUGAUGUUGUUGUUUAUCAUUUUGACGGUUUAACGUUGUUGUCUCGUGAUUGAACUAUGGGUUUUCGUUUUUGUUUUGUUUUUUUUUUUUUUUAAUGGAAAAAUAAAUGAAAUGAGGUUGGCUUGAGUGAAAUUGAACAAUGCGGAGUUAGACUACGGUUCGGGUCAAAUCCUGAUGACGUCCCGGUUUAUCGGGCUCAUCGCCAGGGUUUGACUCGGAACGUUGAUCUAGACCUUGUAUACAAGGGUCGAUUGAAGGUCAAUGUUUUCAAGUUGUGAACCACCGCAAAAAUCUACGAUCAUGAUUGUUUUCCCGUUGCAAAUCAAAAUUCGAGAUUAUAAAAAGUAUGGUACAUUACAACCAUCCCUGAGGUAUGGUUAAAUUACAAAAACUUCUCUCUUGCUUGGGUAAUUACAACCAUAUUCAACAUAAAAUUUCUUACACGUUCACCCUUGCGAUUUCAAAAUUAGUAGAAUUUUCGAGAUUAUAUGGAAUAUUAUCACUUUUGUACACUUUUUAUCCCAUUUAGACUCCACAUUUGGAAGCAGGAUGAUCAUAAUAUAUGUUUUUUGGCUUGUAUAUAUCAGAUUGUGGUGUAUCGCAAACUGUAUUUUUACACAAAACGAGUACAAACUAGAGUACAUUCCACGGAAUCUAGAUUAUUAUGUUGAAUUUGACACCCUAAGAUUGGAAGUGUAAGAAAAAAAUAUAGUUAAAGGGUAAAUGUAAUUAUCUAAACAAGAGGAGUUUUUUCAUAAAUUGACCAUACCUUAGGGAUGGUUGUAAUUUACCCUAAAAAGUAAAAUGAAUCGACAAUCAAAGUUUGAUGACCCAAUUGACUUGUCUAACCACCUAACCAUUUUGAAAAACCGUCCAACCGGCCGAGUUUUCGGCCACCUCAAAUUUUGGGAAAACAAUCGUGAUUAUGUAUUUGAUAUACAUUUGGUUGUCAAGUAUGUAACUUACAAAUGAACCGUAUAUAUGCAUGUGUAAUAUAUGUUACUAGUCUAUUACACCAUAUAUUAAACCAGAACGACGUCGUUUUACUUAGACAUGAAGGGACACGUUUCACGAAUUUAAUAAAAUGAUAUGAACUCACUUUGGAUUCAAACUCGUUGAUCUUCUUCAUACAAAAACUCGUUGCAUUAAUGGAUGUAGUAGUCCGAUUUAUAUGAAACGAGCUUUAACAGGCUGAAAGAGUUUCUUCAUACAAGUGGUGAAGUUAAAAUAUUCUCCAAUGCCCAUUUCACUAAAAAAAUCUUCUCCGAUGUAUAUUUUAAGAUUUCUAUGUGCGCAGCCGAUCGCCAUUAAACUGUGUUUCGAUGCGACAAGGCAUAGUCGGCAGCCGCACACCAACUGUUUGGAAAAUUGCCCAAACCAACCUCACAGAUAUUUCGUUCUCACCUGUCAGCCUUUCGAACGACAUCGUUUAACAUCCGGAUCAGUUCACCGGAUUAUAUAUUGGGAUGUCGGAUUUACACGUUAGUGAUGAUUAAUGUGAAUCUUGUUGGAAAAAUUGAGGUGUUCACCUCAAAUUUGGAAAAUAUUGAAGUGAAAUUCCGUGAUUGUUUCAAGGAAUAAAUAAUGGAAACAUAAUCUACGAUUCGAGUAGAUAGUUGUAGUGUGUUUAAAUGCUCAAAUCCAUUAUAGGAUAAAUGAGAAAUAAAUGCACAAAGUAAGUACUUCAAUGAGCUAAAGUGAGCUCAAAGGGCUUGGUGGGAGAUGAAAAGUCACCUAUCCCACAUUAGGAAAAGAGAAUCAAUGAGAACACUUUAAAUAGUGUCAAUGAAUAGCUAGAGGUAUAAUCGAGGGCUUAAGUACAAAGCCACACGCGCACUACAAAGCCACAUGCGCACCGCCGCCCGCCCGGAGAAAAAUCUGUUCAAAAAUCUCUAUCGAAGAAAAAAAAACACUAUAAAAAUAACAAAUCUUGUUUUCACGGCAGCACGUAAGACUAAGUGCUCUAAGUCCUCAAUUACAUGGCAAAAUAAUUUGAACCGAAUCAUCGAAAUGUUGAUAACUACGAGCUACCGACGUACAUGCAUCAUUGGAUCUAGUAUAUACACAUUUGAAUAUUAAAAAAUAUAAUAAAUUGCAGUAAUAAGUUCCAGGACUAAUUAAUGAUCAGGCCCGCAUGUACAAUGUACUAAUAUCUUAAGAUGCCGUCUACGUAAGGUAAUCCGAUCGCCACAUCGUCAAUCCAGACUUUUGCGGUUGUAUAUGUAAUAUAUAUGUAUUCCUUCUUUUCACACUAUUACUUACAAUUAUUCAUGAGUUACAUAGAAAAAACAAGAGAGAAGAAAACUGGUUGACUAAUUUACAGCAAUGGAGAAGAAGCUCAAAUUCAUGUUCUUGAUUCUUGCUUCGUUAUUGUUACAGACAAUCAAGUCCAAUGCAGAAACCCAAUCCUCCGACCAUCAGAGCCCUUGCCUCGCCGGAAAGGAAAAAAUAACAACAAUGCGUUUCUACGUGCAAGACUUCGUGGGCGGGGACUCGCCAACUGUUUGGAGAGUUGCCCAAACGAACCUCACGGAAGUUCUGCCGUCGGAUUUCGGUGCCGUCGACGUUUUGGACAACCUGGUAACAUCCGAACCGGAGGUCGAUUCGAAAGAAGUUGGUCGGAUCCAGGGGAUUAUCGGUCUGACGGAUUUCCACGAGAAGGCUUUGGUUAUGCUUCUGAAUCUUGUUUUUACGGAGGGUGAGUAUAAAGGGAGCACGCUUAGUGUUUUGGGAAGGAAUCCUUUGCACGAAAAGAUUAGAGAGGUUCCGAUCGUCGGCGGCACUGGUGCUUUCAGAAUGGCGCGUGGGUACGCUAUUACUACUACUUAUAGUACCGACGAAACGAAGAGGCAUCCUAAUGUUUAUCAGUAUGAUGUUGUUGUUUAUCAUUUUGAUGGUUUCACGUUGUUGGCUCGUCAGUGAAGUAAGGGUUUUCGAUUUAAUAUAUUAUUAUUGAAAAAUAAUGUACCUCAGACACUAUCAGUUGUCUUAAAAACUAAUUGAUAGUGCAAAAGGUUCUAUAUGAUCUAAGUUCCAAGGUAAUGGGUUCGAUUCGCAACCUGCAAAAUCAGGUAAAUUCAUAUAUAUGUUUACUCAGUUUAGUUUUAGUCAAGACUGCUGGUAGAACCUCAUGCGCUACCCGUUAUCCUAAAAUAAUAAAAUUUUCAUAAAAUUUUAAGAAUAUAAUUAGUGCAAAGAAUGAAUAUUAUCGCUAACUCGGGAGAUUUAGGUAACAUGGGCUUGAACUUUUAAUUAAUUAUGCUUAAUUAGCUCAAAUACAUUAAAUAGGUUGGCUUUGAGUGAAAUUGAACUUGGUGGAGUUUUCCACCUCAAAUUUUGGGAAAACAAUCGUAAUUUAUGCAUUUGAUGAUAUACAUUUGGUUGUCAAGUAUGUAACUUACAAAUGAAUUUUAUAAAAAAAUACGAAUUCACUUUGGAUUCAAACUCGUGGAUCUUCUUCAUACAAAAACUCCUUGAAUUAAUGGAUGUAGUAGUCCGAUUUAUAUAAAACGAGCUUUUACGGGUUAAACGAGUUUCUUCAUACAAGUGGUGAGGUGGAAAUCUUCUCCAAUGCCCAUUUUAAAAAAAAAAGGAAAAAAAUCUUCUCCAAUGUACAUUUUAAGAUUUCUAUGUACGCAGCCGAUCGCCACAUCCCCAAUUAAGAUUUUGCGGUUGUCUUCGCUAUUUCCCGGUUAUUCUAUACAACUAUGUGUUUGUUAAUCACUAAAACUGAGUUUCUACGUGCAAUGAAUACUCAGCGGCCGCACACCAACUGUUCGGAAAAUUGCCCAAACCAACCUCACAUAUAUUUCGCCCUCAGCUGUUCGCGUUUCAAACCUCGCCAAUGCAACUUGCAACUUUAAUAUGUUUACCACUCCUUUAAUAUUUUCACCAAUUUUAUGUCUAAUAUUUCCUAAAUUUGCCCAAAAAUGGUAAAAUAAUCCCUUUAAAUUUAAAAAUUUUAAAGAUUUUUUAUUAUUUAAUGUGUAUAGUAUUCAAAAAAAAAAAAAAAAAAGCCCCCGAACCCCCCUAAACUAUUAGCCAACCAUUAUAUUAUUUACUAUAUUUAAUUUCGAACACCCUUGGCAAAAAUCCUGGAUUCGCCACUGCCUACCGUUGCAGACCAGUCGCUUUCUUCCGAGAGGUGCUUCAUCGACCUGCUUUGUUUUAUAUUCAAUUUUAUUUUAUUCUCAAUUUUCCUUUUCUUCUUCGUCCUCCUUGGUCUCUGUCUCCGCCGCCCACAAUUCUUAAUUGCGCCUCCUUCUACCUAAAUCCGCCACCUCCUUCUUCUCUCCGCAUACAAUUUUUUGCACCGUUCUCUGAAAUUCCGAUUUUCUGUUAAAAGAAUAAUUUUUUUGGGUAUUCUGAGUUUGUUGUUUCCGGCAAAAAUAUAGGCAUGGGGGUUUCUAAGUGAGCUACGCUUCGUUCCAUAUUUCGGACAUCGAUCGACCGAGGUUGGCUAAAAUUUCUCCCUUUUUUCUUUUUGUUUUCUUAAAAUCAUAUUUCAGCCCUUUUCCCCCUCCUGUCAGCACUAAAAGAUUUCGUUUUUGUUGGAUUGAAAUUUGCAGGCAAUUCUGGGGAUUUUUUCUGCUUAGAUUUUAGUAUUUUUUCUCUCACGCAUGUUGGUUAUUUUGAUUGGAGAGGAACUUUUGAAGACAUCUUUUAUUCAUUUCGUGGUACUUGCUAUGACAAUAUGAAACAGAUUUUAUCAGAAUUUUUUUAAAAAUAUUAAUUCAAUUAAUUUUGGUUAAUUUAACGCUUGAUAAUUAUGCUUAUGUAGAAUAGUAAGUUUGCUGCUUCAAUUGUUUUUUUUUUGGUUGACUUCUUUGCUAUUUUGAUUUAAAUUAUGGACUAAUUUACAAUUAAUUAAUCUUUGGAUGGUUCUAAUAUUUAAUUUCUAUUGUCCAAUGAAACAGAGAGACAUCGUAUAGUGAAGAACAGGGACUAAUUUAAAAUUACUCUUUGGCUAUAAGCCGCAUGCUGAAGAAUAGGUAGAGGUUAUUCUAUAGGUAUGAAGAUGUAUUUCCUCAUUUUUCAUUUAACCAAUUUCGUCAAUGUUUUGUUAUUUAUUUAUUUUGUUAUGUAAUAUCUUCUCGCAUCUCCCUCACCUAUGUUGUUUGAUGUGAGCCCGCCACCUCCUCUUUUUUUGAACCCAAUGAUUCUUCGACAGAGUUAAUUUUCGAGAUUCAACAUGGAGAUUCACAUCUCAGGGAGCUUUAAGAUAAAGUUGAAGAAGAGAUAUAUUGUUGCUCACAAGUAGGGGUGCAAGUUGGAACGGAUUUUCCAAUUUCCGCCGGUUCCGAUCCGAAAAUUUCCAAUUUUGGAACAACUUUUUUCAAUCCGACUUCCGAAAUUCCGAUUUCCGAAAUUUUCCGAUUUUUUUGGAUUGGAAUUGGAACUAUAUAAAAUAAAUUUGGAAUUUCCGAUUUCCGAUCCGAUUUAAUUCCGAAAUUAAUUCCGGAAAAUUGCGAUUUUUUUCCGAAAAAUACACCUAUAAAUAGUAUAUAUUGUAUAAUACUUAUUUUCCGAAAAAUACAACUAUAAGUUUUGUUUUAGGAUUUUGACAUAAUGAAUUGUUGUUAGAAGUUUUAUUGGAUAUUAUGUUGUGUUUAUUUUUAUUUAUUUUUUUGAACUGAAAUUUAGUCGUUAUUAGUUUUACUUUUAUCGACGUGGAUGCUCUUAUUUUCGAAAAAUUAUGGACAUUUUAGAAAAUUUCGGCUAAGUUUAGAAAUUUUAAAGCUUAUGUGAUUUCCGAUUUUUUUCCGAAAUUCCGAAAUUUCCGGGCCUUUUGGAAUUGGAAUGAAUUUUUAGAUUCCGAAAUUUUUGGAAUUGGAAUUGGAAUUGAUUUUGUACUUCCGAAUUUUUUUGGAAAUUUUCCGAAAAGGCUAAUUCCGAUCCGAUCCAUCCGACUUUCACCCCUACUCACAAGGGUAGAGGUGAAAGUACCUGGUUUUCGAUUUCACCUUUUUCUAUAGGGUAAAUUACAAACACCCCCUAAGGUAUGGUUAAAUUACAAAAACACCCCUCUUGUUUGGAUAAUUACAACGACCCCUCAACUCCUCAAAUUAAUGAAAUGAGUUUGGCUUGAGUGGAAUCGAAGUGCGGAUAGACAUGACUACGGUUCGGGUCAAAUCCAAAUGAUGUCCCGGUUAAUCGGGCUCAUCGUCAGGGUUUGACUCGGAACCUUGAUCUAGACCUUGUAUACAAGGAUCGAAUAAAAUCUACGAACGUGAUUGUUUUUCCGCUGCAGAUCAAAAAUCGAGAUUAUGAAAGUAAAAUGAAUCAACAAUCAAAGACGGACGACACAAUCAUGGCCGGAACUUAGAAGGGGCAGGCGGUGUUGUUGACCGCCCAAGAAAGGAAAACAAAAACGUUAUUUGUGGCAUUGUAUUUUUUGAAUAUUACUUUUGGUUCCCCUAAAGUUUUUGUAAAUAUGUGUCUUUAACCCUUAAUUUUUUGUUUCUUCUCCAUAAUCUUAUAUAUAUAUAUAUAUAUAUAUCUAUAUAUAUAUAUUAAAUAUAAAAUAGAAUGGUUAAAACUUGUAUUAUUUUAAAUAAAAUUUAUGAAUAUUUACUUAUUUUUGAUUUUUUUUUUCAAUGACUCUAACAAAAUAAUAUGGAACGAUGCCAUGAAUCCCCAAAAUUUAAGUGCAAUACAUAUUUAGAAUAAUUAGAAUUAAUUUAAUUUUUUUUGUCAUGCUUAAAAUAUGAUAAAACUAUAAUAUAUAUGCUAUUUUAAUUAAAAACUAGUAAUUCACUCGUGCGUUGCACGGAGGUCAGUUUUAAAGUGAGAAAAAUAAUAAUAUCUAAACGACUAUCUCUUUAUAGCAACACCAAUUCAAGUAAAAACAAAAUGGAAAGAAAUAAAAAAAACAUAAACUUUAUCUUUUAAUUCAAAGUUUUAAAAUAUGAAAUUAAAUUAAAUAUUACAAAGAAGAAAACGCAAAGCGCGCAAAACACGAUAUGAAGAUUAAGUGAAUUAUUUAAAACAUAUGGUAUAACACUAUUUCAUGGAACACAAUCUACUACGCCAUAUGAAUCUUCUAUAAUAUAACUAACUUAACAACAAACACAAUACCAGAGAAAUAACGCAAUAGAUAUUCAAAUAACCUGCAAGUGUAUCACUAACAGCGUUCAAUUAGUGAUGCACAUUACUCAAACAACAAUACAACUUAUAAAUAUUGCAAAAGAGAUAAGAUGUAUACGCCCCAACCAAUACUGAUACCAAUAUCGAUACUAAUGUUGAUAUCAAUACCAAUACCAAUAUUGAUACCAAUACUGAUACUAAUAAUGGUAUUAAUACUGAUACUGAUAUCGAUACUAAUACUGAUACUACUAAUGAUACUGAUAUUGAUACUGAGAUACUGAUAUUGAUAUUGAUACUGAUACUAAUAGUAAUAUUAAUAUUAAUACUAAUACUAAUAGUGAUACUCAUAUUAAUACUGAUACUGAUAGUCAUACUAAUACUGAUACUAAUAUUGAUAUUGAUAGUGAUACGAAUACUGAUAUUAAUAUUAAUAUUAAUACUAAUACUAAUACUAAUACUAAUACUAAUAUUGAUAUUGAUAUUGAUAUUGAUACUGAUACUGAUUACUAAUACUGAUACUAAUACUAAUAAUAAUACUAAUAAUGAUACUGAUACUAAUACUAAUAUUAAUUCUAAUACUAAUAGUGAAACUAAUACUGAUACUCAUACUCAUAUCCUAGUACUGAUAUUGAUACUGAUACCGAUAUUGAUACUAAUGUUGAUACUGAUAUUGAUACUGCUACUCAUAGUAAUAUUAAUAUUAAUACUAAUACUAAUAAUAGUACUCAUACUGAUACUCAUAUUGAUACUAAUACUAAUAUUGAUACUCAUAUUUAUACUUAUACUGAUACUCAUACUAAUACUAAUACUUAUACUAAUACUAAUAAUAAUAAUACUAAUACUAAUACUAAUACUAAUACUAAUACUAAUACUAAUACUAAUACUAAUACUAAUACUAAUACUAAUACUAAUACUAACACUAAUACUAAUACUAAUACUAAUAGUAAUAGUAAUAUUAAUACUAUUACUAAUACUAAUGUGUUAAUAUUGUUAAUGUUAAUGCUAAGACUAAAUUUAGUGCUAAUGCUACUUUGGAUAUGCUAAUCAUUACGCUAAUGUUAAUUAUAAUUAUCAUCCUAAUAUUAUUGAAAUCCUUAUCCUAUUCAUAAUACUAAUCAUAAUUCUAAUCCUAAUUAUAAUUCUAAUCAUAUUCCUAACACUAAUCAUAAUUCUAAUCAUGACCUUAAUAAUUUUAAUACUAAUAAUGCUAAUGUUAAUGCUAAUGCUACUGUUAAUUUUAAUUCUAAUUCUAAUUAUAAUCUUAAUUCUAAUUAUAAUCCUCAUAAUGCUGAUCAUAAUCCUAAUACUAAUACAUGUCACUAAUUGUAGUAAUAAUCAUAAUCAUGAUCUUAAUUAUAAAUCUAAUACUAAUAUUAAUCAUAACCAUAAUCAUAAUCCUAAUAUUAAUUCUAAUACUAUAUUAAUCCUAAUUAUAAUCUGAAUGCUAAUCCGUGUAUUAAUACUAAUACUAAUUCAAAGAAUAUUAAUUAUAAUCCUAAUUCUAGUGCUAGUACUAACUAAUUCUGAUUUUGCAUAAAUGUUCUUUGAAAUGAUCUAUUAUUUUGUAUAAAAAAAAAAUUCUAUUCAAUCUCGCAAGCUUUAUAUCAAAUUCCUUAUGUGUAGAAGCAUCCAUAAGCAUAUAUUAAAUAUAUUAGAAAUUAAUAAUUAAUUAUAUUAUCAAACCGACAUUAAUUUUAUUUAAAAUAUUAUAAGGGUAUAAGAAAACUGUUAAGACGUAAAAAGAACAAUAAUCGUUGUUAAUAGGAUAAAUUAAAAAAAUCCUUCUGAACUUACGGUAAAUUACGGAAAACACCCCCACUUAUCAGUAAUUACUAAAAUCCCCCUGAUGUUUGUUUCUUUUUUACACGACUCCCUUAUGGUGUGAUUUUUUAUGGAAUAUUUUUUUAUUCCAUGUUAUAUCCCAAAAAAAUGUGGAUUCUACCCUUGGAGACGUGACAUUUCUUCUAUCAUACUUUUUAAAUAUAAAAAUUACCAUGAGAGGAGGUAAUGGUAAUACUAAAAAAGUUGUGAAAGUGUUAUUUAAGAAGAAUAAAGAUUAUGUGUAAAGUCCUCCCGAGGGCAAUGCUUGUCUUUAAAAAGCACCAUAAAAAAGUACCGCGUGUGCAGGGUAAUAUCUGCAUUUUUUGGGGAAUAUUCCACGUAAUAAAAGAAAUUCCGUGAAAAAUCUUACCGCAAGGGGGUCGAUGUCAGACGCAAACAAACAUUAGGGGAAUUUUGGUAAUUACGAAUAUGUGGGGGUGUUUUUCUUAAAUUAGCCUAAAUUCGGGGGGUUUUCGUAAUUUAUCCCUAAUAAUAUACAACUUAAAUUUAUUUACACGUAUGACCAUAUGUUAGAAAAUAACAUAAAGGCCGGUGCUAAUGAAAUAGAUCAAAUUUCAAGUAAACAAAAGUCACUAUAAAAUACUUAUAUAAAUCAUAAAUGGAAAAAUAAAAAAAUUAAUUGAUUUUUUUUUGUAAAUCAGUCGAAUAUAUUGUGAUUUCAAAAAAAAAAUAGAGAUAUAUAAUCGAUAUUAGAUUCUUAUAAAUAUUAUAAAAUAAAUAAUUUUAUUUUACAAAUAUUUUUAAAUUGUAAAUUAACAAAAUGGAUAUAUCGUAUUAUAUAUGAUGGGGAAAUAGAAAACUUAAGAAAAUGUCACUAAUUUAGAUACGUAACUUGUAAGUUAGAGAAAAGAACUCGUGUAUUCCAAUGUAAAAAUAUAGUGAGAUAUAUAUGGUGUAAAAAUAUUUAAUAAUCAAUUAUUUACGCUAUAAUACCCUACAUUAAUAUUUUUAUUUUCCUAUGAUUUAAAAUUUUAAUUUAAAAAAUUAGUCAGAAUAUUUGUAGAUAAACAUUUUCUUUUCCAUGAUAGGAUGUCUAUAUCUUAACACGCACUAUAAUGGAUUGUAGUAAAUCUCGUAUAAGUUCAAUAUGGUACCAAUGUCGUACCAAAUGAAAUGAUAACCACUAAUUUGAUAUUUAUUGGUAUACUAUGAUACUUAAAAUUUGAUAACUUUUUCCAUCCAUAGCAACAAUAUUGCAUCAAACUUUCUCAAUUUGGAAAGACACACACAUAAUUAUGCAAUUACUUAUAUAAUUGUAGUCGUUUAUAUAAUAUAUAAAUAUCUUAUUGAGUUUGUAACUAAAAAUGGAUCGUAGAAACUACUGAUUUGCCGAUUGAUAUUGUAUUUGUUAAUGUAAACUAUUUAAAGUAACAACACCUCGAGUGAGGUUAUUAAAUGAGCUAUCAAAACCUUUAACCACGAUUUUCAUACUAAAAAAUAGUAAUUUUAAUUCCAAUAGAGUUAUGAAAUAAGGGUUGUGUUUUGAUAUUUAAUCUGUCGUAAUGUAAAAAUACUUCAUGCAGAAUAAAAUAUCAAACAUGAAUUAUGAAUUUAACCACCUCAGUGUCCAUUUAGAAAAGUUAGAAAAUGAUAUAUGACAAUUAAAUAUAUAAAUCAAUUUAAUAAUUUUUAAUUAACAACCAUUUAAUAUCUAUGCUUGGAGCAUAUUAAAUAUCACAUAAAUAUUUGCAAAACCAUUUUGAUACUUUUGAGUUGGAGUUGCUAUAAAUAUGUACGUAAUUAUAUUUAUCAAAGUUAUAGAGAAAUACUUAUAAGUGAAUACGAUAUAUAGUAUAUAGGAUUAUUAUUUUAAACAAAACAAUUGAUAUUCUUAAUUUUUGGUAUUAAUAAAGUGAAUAUACGAAUUUAAUACUAAACAUUUAGAAUAUCAUUGUUAUAUUUUGAAAUAUAUAAAAUCAAUAUUUUGUUAAAAUUGAUUAAACUUAACUUAUCUUCUUCAAUUUAUUAGUAUAAUCAUGAGAAAGUUUGUAUUUUAAUUAGUAUAUAAUUAAAAAAAAUUAAAUCAAUUAUAAAAUUUAUCGUCACUGGAUUCGGUGAAGAAAAGAGAAAAGUUAAAAACAAUAACAUGAAAUUCAUGUAGUAUAAUUUCAUUAUGGUAAAUAAUUGGGAUAAUAUUACUGCACACAUGGUAGAAAAAAAAUAGUGUCAAUUUCCGCAAUAUAGUAAUUUUGAACAUGUAUCUUUCUUUUAUACAGAUAAUGAUAAUAUAUAAUAUUAAAUUAGUACAAAAAAACAUAUUCUUUUUUUAUGUCCAUGUAAAAUGUAUAAUAUAUUAAUAUCAACUAAUUUAUUAUGCAUUUUUUUUAUAUAAAUACAAAUUUAUUAAUUAAAAUACAAAAUUUACGUAACAUCACCAAUCAUGCAACUAUAAUAAGGGAAGACUCUAAAUUGAAUUUAACUAAAUUUAAAUUAAAUUAAUUACUAUUAAAACUAAAUUCAAAAAUAAAUAUAUUUAUAGUUUCCAAGAAAGUUGAUAUAUUUAGAGAUUUUAUAAAUGGUAGGAUUAGGGGUGGAGAUCGGACGGAUCGGAUCGGAAUCCACCCCUUCGGAAAAUUUCCGAUUUUUUUCGGAAGUGAAAAAUCACUUCCGAUUCCGAUUCCGAAUAUUUCGGAAUACAAAAGCCCGUUCCGAUUCCAAUUCCGAAAAAAAAAAUCGGAAUUUCGGAAUUUUCGGAAACGUCGUUGACUAUGCCCGGCAACUGAAGCACGGAAGAAAAGCAACGGCCACGGCGGAGAUUUAUAGGGAAUAACGAUAGCUUUUGGGCAGCAACUCCGGCGAUCUUGAGAGAAAAAGGAUUGUGGUAUUUUGCAGCAAUUCCAGCCUCUGUUUCGCGAUCGUGAAGGCAACGAUUAAAGAUAUGGUAAGUUUUAUGACUCAUAUGGUAGAGAAGAAGAGUUGGCGGUGGAAAGAAAAAAAAAAGUUAAGAGCAGGGAGAUGUGAAGCGGCGCAAGAAAAAGAAGAAAAAAAAAAAUUCAGAGCAGGGAGAUGAGCAGCGCAAGAAGAAGAAGAAAGAAAUUAGGGUUUUAUAAUUUUUUGGUAUUUAAUGUUUAGUCCCUAAAAUUCUGAAUAUUCAAUAUUUGGGCUCAUAAGUUUGCUAAAGUGGGCUGCCUUACUAGAGUGGGCUUUUUAAAAGCCUAACUAGAAACAAUAUAGUAAAUUAGUAAUGAAGAAAUAUUAAUAAAUUUCGGAAAAAUUCGGAACAUUUCGGAAAAAUUAUCGGAAAUUUCGGAAUUAUUUUCGGAUCAGAAUUCGGAAAUUCCGAAUAAUUCAUAUACAAUUCCGAUUCCGAUCCGAUUUUUUCGGAAAAAAUCAGAAAUCGGAAUUUCGGAAUUCGGACUACAAAAAAUCGUUUCAAAAUCGGAAAAAAUCGGAUCGGAUUCGGCGGAAAUCGGAAAUUUCGUUCCGAUUUCCACCCCUAGGUAGGAUAUAAAUAUAUUAAUAAAAUAAUAAAAUAUAUUUAAUUACCUUUAAUUUUAGAAAUGAUGACAUGUUUUUGAUGAUUUAUUUUCACCAAUCAAUUUGCCACAUGGAAUGAAAUUGAAUACAUGUCAUCAAUUGAAAUUGUCAAAUGUCAAGGAAUUAAGGGUGGAAUUCAACUUAUAUAUAUUAUAUAGAUGAUUAUAUUUUAUGAAAUGAAAUAAUAAAACAAUAAAAAUAUGUAUAUGUCGUAUUUUAAACAAAUAUAAUUUAUUGAAUGCAUUUCGCGAUAUUCUGUAAUUACGAAAAUUUGAAAAAAAUAUUUAAUCAUUAAAAUUAGUCGAUUAUUACAAUGAAAAAAAAUUCCUAAAAUUUAUUUGAAUAUUCAUAAAAAAUGGACGUUCAAAUGAAUAUAUUUGAAUAUUCUUAAUGUUAAUGUAGUAAUUUAUUCAAAAAAAAUUAAGAUUGAAAUAUAAAAUAGAAAAUUAUAAUGAAUGUAAAAUAUGUAAACUAUAAGAAAAUAAAAUAAAACUCCAAAAUUGCACCAAUGAAACAAAAGUACAGAAAAUGUUUGUCUUUAUUAUUUACAAAAAAAAAAAAAAAAAAAAAACAUUCAAAAGAUGAUACAUGUCAAUUGUGGUGAAACAUGUACAUACAACAAUAUUGUCCAAUCCUGUUUUCAAAAUCAAAGAAAAAUAAUAAAAUCUUUGAUUUCCACGUUUCCACAUGCAAUACAUGAUUCAGUGUCAAUUUCUUUCAUUUCUGUUUGACAAAACAAUAAUCGAUUUUUGGAUAAUGAUAAAUAUAUAAGGCAAUUAAAUUAAAAAACUAAAUACAAACUUUUAAAUAAAUAAAUGAAAUUACAAAAAUUAUAUGCAAACCGUAACAAUGUAGCACAUAGGACAUAAGUUGGAUUCGUAAACAACAUCUGCAAGAAAUACAUAAAGAAAAAGUAUUAGCAUAGUUCUUCAGUUAAAUAAAAAUAUUAAAUAGGUUUAAACCAUCUAAAUUAAAUUAUAAUACGAUAAAUGCAUGAAAUCAAUUGAAAAAAAAUUCAAAAAAAUUUCCAAAAAAAAAAAUACCAAAAAGAGAAAACGAAAAACGAAAAACGAAAAACAAAAACAACUCGAAUGGCAUGGGUAAAGAAGAAUAGUGUAGGGUAAAAUAAAUAGAUGGGAGUUUAUAUAGUUUUGAUAAGUAUAUAGUAAUUAGGAAAUUUUUUGAAUUCAAAUUUCAAAUGACAUGAUUAUAGGUAAUCUAGGUGGAAAUAGAAAAAAAAAAAAAAAAGUAACAAAUCAAAAAAAUCAACUCAGAUGAUUUGAUUUGUAUUGAUUAGGAAUUGAUUUUAAAAUAUUAAACAAUAUUUAUGGUUAUUGAAUAUUUUCUUUAAACUAACUAUAUAAAUUUAUAAUUAUGUUAAAUAGGUAAGAAAUCAAAUUUCAUAUCAUAAAAUAUAUAUUCUAAUUUUAGAAAAUUUUAAAAUAAAUAAAACAUAGACAGUUUUUUUUUUUUUUUUUUUUUUUGAUUUAAUAAUAGAAUUAUAAAUUUCAUAAUAUAUUAUUAAUAUGUUAAUUUGAAAUCGAAUUUAAAUGCAUUAUUAAUAUAUUUUUUUAAUAUUUUUUUUUAUUGAAUGGAUAUUCGAAUAUUCCAGAAUAUUGAAAAUAAAAAAAAUGUAUUCAUUUAUUUUAAUAUUUGAAUAUUAAAAAAAAUCUGAAAAUUAUUUGAAUAUUCGUAAAAAAAUUGAGUGUACUGAUUUUUUUUAAAAAGACUACCAGUAAAUAUAUUUUGAAAUACUAGAAAUGUAAAUAAGAAUUUUUUAUUUUGAAUUUAUAAAAUAUUAAUUUUGGAAAUAAUAUAUAUACACGUGGUAAUUGUUUAAAUGAGUGUAUAAAUGUUGAAUAGGAAAUAACUUAAAUACAUACCAAAAUAAAAUUGACAACUCACCAAUUGAAGAAUCCACCUCAUCAAUUGAACUCCAACUAAGCAAUUGUGAUAAAUGACAUCAUUAUUUGCUACAUGUCAAUCAUUAAGGGCAUAGAUCCUCUUUUUAUAUUAUAUAUAGAUUGAAAAUUAAAAUAAAAAAAAAAAAAAAUUGUAUUCCUUUCUUUAAUAUUUUAAUAUUAAAAAAAAUAUUUUUUUCUGAGAAUUAUUUGAAUAUUCGUAAAAAUAUUGAGUAUCAUGAAUUUUUUCAAUAAACGUGUUUUGAAAUACUGAAAAUAUAAAUAAGAUUUUUUUUUUCUUUUCGAAUUUAUGAAAUAUUAACUUUGAAAAUAAUAUAUAUACAUGUGGUAAUUGUUUAAAUGAGUGUAUAAAUGUUAAAUAGGAAAUAACUUAAAUACAUACCAAAAUAAAAUUGACAACUCACCAAUUGAAGAAUCCACCUCAUCAAUUGAACUCCAACUAAGCAAUUUUGAUAAAUGACAUCAUCAUUUGCCAUAUGUCAAUCAUUGAGGGCAUAGAUUCUCUUUUUAUAUUAUAUAUAGAUAUAAAUUAUCAAAAUGAACUUAUUUUUGCAAUAUCUUGUGAACCUAAAAAAAAAAUCAGGGCGCUGCCCCAAACCCUCAAAUUUUAGUUGGUCCCCUACAUUUUGAUUAUGGUUCCAUCACACAAUCGACGUGUCUAACCACCCAACCAUGUUGAAAACCGGUCCAACCGCCCGAGUUUUCCACCUCAAAUUUUGGGAAAACAAUUGGAUGGGCCUAUAAAAGACAAUAGUCGGAUUCCAUUAACAAACUGACACGUGGACAUAUCUCAAAUUUCUCUUACCAAUAUUAUAUAACAAGUGGGUUUGCCCAUUUAAUACAAAACACAAAAACUAAUAAAAAAUAAAAAAAAUUCUCCAAAAUCAUUCAGCCAACAACAAUUUGGGAAAAAAAAUAUAAUUGUUCAAAUUAAAAAAAUAUUACUACAAAAACCAGAAACCUGAAAACCUGAAAACCCGAAACCCGAAAACCGAAACCCGAAAUCCAAAAACCCAAAACCCGAAAAUCGAAACCCUAAAACCCGAAACCCCGAAAAACCCGAAACCCCGAAAAAUCCAAAACCCCAAAAAACCCAAAACCCAAAACCCAAAACCCCGAAAAACCCGAAACCCCAAAAAACCCGAAACCCCAAAACCGGAAACCCCAAAAAACCCAAAACCCGAAAACCCGUCCGUUGAACAUAAGGUUUUAUAUUAUUAUUAUUAUUAUUAUUAUUAUUAUUAUUAUUAUUAUUAUUAUUAUUAUUAUUAUUAUUAUUAUUAUUAUUAUUAUUAUUAUUAUUAUUAUUAUUAUUAUUAUUAUUAUUAUUAUUAUUAUUAUUAUUAUUAUUUCGUUAGUUGUUAACCAUUUUUUUAAAUGUCAGUGUCUACCCUAAAUUUACAACUAUGGUAAUUUAAUUUAGUUUAAUUAGAUUUAGAGUUUGUUAAUUAAAUCAUCCACGUGGCAUAAUAUGAAUGGAAUCCGAUUAUUGUACAUAAUCAACUCAUCCGGUGAGAAUUUAAACUCAUUUAUGUAUUUGAUGUACAAUAAAAGUAGUUAUUACUUUGGUUGUCAAAUAUUAGUAACUAAAAAAUUAAUUGUGUGUAUGUGUAAUAUGUAUUACUAGUCUAUUACACCAUAUAUUAAACCAAAACGAUCGUCGUUUUACUUUGACUUUGACAUGAAGGGAAAGGUUUAAGGAAUUUUUAUAAAAAAAAAAUACGAACUCACUUUGGAUCAAACUCAUGUGAAAUCUUCUUCAUAAAAAAAAAAAAAAAAAAAAAAAAAAUUGUAUUAACGGAUGUAGUAUUCCAAUUUAUAUGAAACGAGUUUUCAACAUCCGGACCGGUUCAGUGGAUUAUUGGGAUGUCGGAUUUGCAUGUUAGUGACGAUAAAUGUGAAUCUUGUUUUCGCGGCAGGUUAAGACUAAGUGCUAAGUCCUCAAUUACAUGGCAAAAUAAUUUCAACCGAGUCAUCGAAAUGUCGAUAACUACGACCUACCGACGUGCGUGAUCAUUUUUUGGAUCUAGUAUAAAUAUAAUGAAUUACAGUAACUUCCAGGACUAAUUAAUGAUCAGGCCCGCAUGUAUAAUGUACUAUAUCUUAAGAUGCCGUCUACGAAAGGUAAUCCGAUCGCCACAUCGUCAAUCCAGACUUUUGCGGUAGUGUAUGUAUUCGUUCUUUUCACACUAUUAUUUACAAUUAUUCAUUCAUGAGUUACAUAGAAAAACAAGAGAGAAGAGAACUGGUUGACUAAUUUACAGCAAUGGAGAAGAAGCUCAAAUUCAUGUUCUUGAUUCUUUCUUCAAUAUCACUACAGACAAUCAUGUCCAAUGCAGACACCCAAUCCUCCGACCACCGGAGCCCCUGCCUCGCCGGAAAAGAAAAGCUAACAACGCUGCGUUUCUACGUGCAAGACUUCGUCGGCGGGGACUCGCCAACUGUUUGGGAAAUUGCCAAAACGAACCUCACCGACGUUCUUCCCUCAGCAUUUGGCCUGGUCAGCGUUUUGGACAACCUGGUGACAUCCGAACCGGAGGUCGAUUCGAAAGAAGUGGGUCGGAUCCAGGGGAUUAUCGGGUUGACGGAUUUCCACGAGAAGGCUUUGGUUAUGC